CCGCUCCACCGCCCUUCACCAUCUCGGAGGAGUUGGCUCUCGCCAACAACAAAGGUCGGCCAAUGAUGGUAGGAGUGGAUGGGGGGAUGUUCUCUGACCCCACUGCCUCGACAUCGAACCCGUUUGUAACGAGUAUGUAUUCAUGUAUUGGCAAUGGACAUAAAUAAUUGUCUUGCUAAUCAAAUGUGAAAUGAUUGAGUGUAAAUUAAUCGUGUCAUUUUUAGUUGAAGGUACAAACAUUGUUUUGGAGAAGCCGCCGACAAUUAAUCUCCAAUCAGAGGAAACACUGUCGGCCUGUGACUCCAGGGCGACUAUGGAGAGGGAAAUGGCAUUGGAUGAGCCAUCCACCUCCACCUCAACCUCAACCUUCUCAAGGCCUUCUCGAGGGACAGACAAGGUUUUUAUUUAGGUUAUUCCUUUUGUAAGGUGCGCCACAAGGCUUUGACCAUGGUA
rnacentral:lncRNA from 1 species